rnacentral:lncRNA from 1 species
UCUGGUCCUUCCUCACCAUCAAAUCAAGAUGGAGCAGGAUCAUCAGACUUCCAUUCUUUCUCUGAGUCCCUGAAAUCUAGAUUUAAUGCUGUGUCAAUGAGGUACGAAUUACUUAGGAGAUUAGUUAGUCAACAUGUAUUACUAAUUCGCUAUUAAUGCCAUCCUAAAAUCCAGGUACAGGGAUUCAAUUUCAAAGAGUGCGAGAGGGUGGAAAGAAAGGUUCUUCUCCCGUACUUCGAUGUCUGAUAUUAGCUCUGAAGUUCGAAGGGAAGUGAAUGCUGGAAUUGCUAGUGUAUCUUGCAUGAUGGAGCGUCUUGGAAGUAGAGAAAACAAUAGACCCGGCCAAGCUUCUUUAUCAUCCGAUCACUCCACUAAUUGUCCAGUGACAGAGGAAAACCAGCAGAACAAUGCAGUGGGUCGCAGAGUAGACUCUUUGGAUGAGAGUAAUAUCCGGCCUCCUCCUUACGUUCCAAGUGCUGGCUCCAUUCCAUCUUAAUUCAUUAUAUGUCGGUUCAGCGAUGACAUCAAUCCUCAGUGUUUCGUUUUUUUGAAGGUGAGGCACGUUGCUCCAUACGAAUAUCAACUCAGUCACUGCAAACUUUAUAUUAAGCACAUAAGUAUUAUAAUCUGAAACUCACCGAGUCUGAAAUUUUCAGGUUGUCAAGUGGUUUCUCUGAAAUGAAAUGAUGAGAGGAGGAGAUGCAGCCGGAUCGGGUUACGGCAAUGUGAGAAAUAA